rnacentral:rRNA from 1 species
UACGUAGGGUGCAAGCGUUAAUCGGAAUUACUGGGCGUAAAGCGUGCGCAGGCGGUGAUGUAAGACAGAUGUGAAAUCCCCGGGCUCAACCUGGGAACUGCAUUUGUGACUGCAUCGCUGGAGUACGGCAGAGGGGGAUGGAAUUCCGCGUGUAGCAGUGAAAUGCGCAGAUAUCAGGAGGAACACCAGCGGCGAAGGCGGCGCUCUGGGCCGGUACUGACACUGAGACGCGAAAGCGUGGGGAGCAAACAGG